UGUAGAACGACACAUGCCACUAAAGACCUUUUGAAUAAGUACUCUAGAAAGUAAUAUUAAAAUUUGUGAAAGAUCCCGUAGUAACAGUUAUAAAUAUGGUACUCAUACAUAAGCUUCAGCAUUCAACGUUUGGCCUGCGUUAGGGACAUAUGCGACUAUACCUGAUUUACUGUAACAACAACUUGCUCAAGCGUCGGAUUAUUUUAUGUGUAAACUGGUGUAAAUUCGUGACAUCCUCCAGAUAAGCGACACAAACGUAGGAUAUCGGGAUAGCAAAUGGAACGAUGGUGUAUGUUUUUCACGUAGCAGUAUUUCCUUUUCCUUAUGAUUGCUGGGAAAAGCGAGGUAACAGGUACUAUAUCUUAUGUUAAUGUUGGGUUUACUGCAAUCUUCCGCAUGACGUUACCCUAACGGUCAACACGGACGGAUUCUGAACGGUCAACAUACUCUUGCUAUAUUGUGCACAGGAUGGAAAUUUGAAGUAUUAGUAAUUCCCAACAGUGAUAAUGUUUGGUUUCAAGUGUUUUGAGAGAAAUGCUUAGAAAGUGCAGGUGUUAGUAGGGCAGAUAAAUGAAGAUUAGAAAACGAUGAUUCGUGUUCUAGAAUGAUUUAAUGCUCACUUUUCGUAUCAAAUAAAGAAACAAUGUAUGAGUUA